GUUGUUGAUAGCGAGUCCGAUGAACAGAGGAGAGCGAGAGAGGAUGGUGAUGCAGCUGAUGCUACUGAUGCUGCGAUGUACUCUCCGUUG